GAUGAACGCUAGCGGCAGGCUUAAUACAUGCAAGUCGAGGGGCAGCAUGACUGUAGCAAUACAGUUGAUGGCGACCGGCAAACGGGUGCGGAACACGUACAGAACCUUCCUUCGAGCGGGGAAUAGCCCAGAGCAAUUUGGAUUAAUACCCCAUAGUAUUACAGAGUGGCAUCACUUUGUAAUUAAAGAUUUAUCACUUGAAGAUGGCUGUGCGGCUGAUUAGGUAGUUGGCGGGGUAACGGCCCACCAAGCCUGCGAUCAGUAACUGGUGUGAGAGCACGACCAGACACACGGGCACUGAGACACGGGCCCGACUCCUACGGGAGGCAGCAGUAAGGAAUAUUGGUCAAUGGACGAAAGUCUGAACCAGCCAUGCCGCGUGGAGGAUGAAGGUCCUCUGGAUUGUAAACUUCUUUUAUAUGGGACGAAAAAGGGUCUUUCUAGAUCAACUGACGGUACCAAAUGAAUAAGCACCGGCUAACUCCGUGCCAGCAGCCGCCGUAAUAC
rnacentral:rRNA from 1 species